AACGAACGCUGGCGGCAGGCCUAAUACAUGCAAGUCGAGCGCAUCCUUCGGGAUGAGCGGCGCACGGGUGCGUAACACGUGGGAAUGUGCCUCUAGGUACGGAACAACCAAGGGAAACUUUGGCUAGUACCGUAUAAUAUCGAGAGAUCAAAGAUUUAUCGCCUAGAGAUCAGCCCGCGUCUGAUUAGAUAGUUGGUGGGGUAAUGGCCUACCAAGUCGACGAUCAGUAGCGGGUCUGAGAGGAUGAUCAGCCACACUGGAACUGAGACACGGUCAGACUCCUACGGGAGGCAGCAGUAAGGAAUAUUGGACAAUGGGCGAAAGCCUGAUCCAGCCAUGCCGCGUGAGUGACGAAGGCCUUAGGGUUGUAAAGCUCUUUCGUCUGUGAGGAUAAUGACCGUAGCAGAAGAAGAAGCCCCGGCUAAAUUCGUGCCAGCCGCCGCAGUAACAC
rnacentral:rRNA from 1 species